CGGGGGAGAGACCCCAAAGGAGAAUCACCGAUCCACCUGGAACCGUGCUCAAUGGUUAAAUAGGCUAUGCACUAGAAACUUCGCACAUCUUUCCCCGGCUCACAGCUAAACAAUUCACAGUUAGGAUGUAAGGUCUAGCUCCUGUGCCAGCACCAUGCUUGCCUGCUGCCUGCCUGCCACCAAGCUUCCCACCAGGAUGAUCAUGGACCGACUCUCUGAAAUUCUAUGUUCUAGAAGGCAAGCAACUCAUCCCAGAAAGCAUGGAAGUACUGUUCUAGAUACUAAGCAAAACCUGGAAGUGUUUUGCUGGACAUUCCGUGCUUUGCCACUCAUUUCUCCCUCCACCCCCGAAACGCCCCUCUCCUGCAUGCAGCUGCUUGUCUGCCAAGUGGCUGCUUGCUGGCCUCCAUACCGAACCUGUUUGCUUUCUUAAAGGCAUGUCUUUCUCCCUUCCUCUUCUCUGUCUCUCUCCUCUGGGGAACUGCUGAGGUUUACAGAUUGCCUGCCUUGUUUUUCUUUCAAACCAACAAAAUUGUCCUCAGUCCAAGUCUGCUUCUAAAUUCUUUAUUAGCAGACUAAGAACCCAAAGAGGGAAUGCCAGUUUCCCUGGCAACAUCACGUGUGGCUUUGAAUGUGUGAUCCUCUAGCCCCAGCCUUCCUGUUGACUAAGAGUAUCAGUCUGUGC